rfam:Brachypodium distachyon strain Bd21 chromosome 4, whole genome shotgun sequence.
CAUAUACUCCCUCCGUCCCAUAUUAAGUGACUUUCUAUUACAUGUAUCUCGACGCUUUUUAGGCAUAGAUACAUCCAUAUUUUGGCAAAUUUGAGUCACUUAAUAUGGGACGGAGGGAGUAGUUC